rnacentral:misc_RNA from 1 species
AAACUGCGAUAAGUAGCGUGAAUUGCAGACGCUUUGAACGUUAAACUUUCGAACGCACAUUGCGCCGUAGGAGUCCUACCCUACGGCACAUCUGGUUGAGGGUCGUGAUCAAAAACAGCCGCAUAGUAGCUGGAAUAGAACGAAUUGGUGAAUCACGAGUCCGGCCCACCCGUACUCGGGCCGUACGUGUUUUGCCAUUAUGCUCUAGAGGAUAGCGGGGUUCUUUUUCGGAGCCUGUGGCUACCUGCCACACAGACAGGCUAUCAGCUGAGGCGAUAGAUUACGUCCUUGGGGUAUCAUACUACGUUUUCGUAUAUGCUCUUCGGCGUCUGGAAUACAGCUGGUUGGUUUCGUACGUGCAUGGUGAAAGUAAAUCGCUUUCCCGACCUCAACUCAGGUG